rnacentral:misc_RNA from 1 species
AAGUUUACAGUAGUAGAGGCCGAUAGCAAAUAUAACAGUUGUCUGCAAGAAAACCUUAUAGCAUGUUGUUACAGUCAGAAUCGCCUCAUAGUUUCCCCUAUUUUAGCUAAAUCAAAACUAAAUAACUUCAUUAAAAUUUACAACUCUAAAAAUUUCCUAAAUUAUAUUCCGUUAAAGUUCAGAAGUAAGAAUUGUUAAUUAAAUCGCCCGAGGCGCUUGUAUUUGUUGUAUUAUCUGCCCCUGUGUUUAUACCAACACUCAACUGAUUACCAGCUUCGGACACUGUUUAUCUUCAGCCUGUGCUCCCUAUUAUAGCCACGAUCGCUCCUCGCAUUUUUACCUCAUUCAUAAUCUAUGCAAAAGUUUUUUUGUAUAUUAUCUAUCUACUGCCACAGAAUCACAUCGUAUAAUGUAAAUUAUAGAAUGUUGCAAGGACGAUUAAAAAAAAAGGGGGACUGCGAAAGAUAUUCAUGUUGGAGAAACUUAUAAAAGAAGCUUGAAAAUGAGACAAAUAAAAGUUAUAAACUAUUCGGCAUAAUUUAACGUUGUUUUGGAGGGAAAAUAUAACUGCCACUGAAAUGUAUCACUAUUCAAACUCAUUUGCUCUAGUCCAAAUUAUUAGACUAUUUGGGAAAAUAUUUUAAAAUUUGUUGUAUAACAGUUCAAUUACUUUUCAAAGUUUAUAAAAAAAAUUAUCUAAUGUCUUAUUUGUUGAAAUUCAGUUUAUAUUUUGAAUUUCUGGGGGCACAAAAAGCAAUCAAAUCAAAGUCUCAACAUUACUAAUGAACCAAAUGAAAUGAAAGACAGAAAAAAUAAAGAAGUUAGAAUCCCUUCGUAUUUUUUAGUUUAUUAGAUCAACAACUUACUUUUACUAUUUAAACUUAGUUGUUGAGAAAUCAGUUAAAACUUUUACCUACUGAUAGAAAUUUAACUGAUUUGAAAGUCAAUGGAGAAAACUUAUGUAGUUAACAUUAGUGGGAAAUCCUUCUCCAAAUAUGGCUCUCAUGGCCCAAAUGAUGAAGAAAGAGCACUUUCACCACAAGAUGAGCAAGAAGAGACAUUAGAUCUUUCUUUCCGAGACAACAGUCAUCUUAGUGUACCUAAUAAGCCUUAUGCAUGUGAUUUGUGUAGCAAAUGUUUUGCCCAAAAAUCUCAUUUAAAACAACAUUUAGUUACACACAGUGGAGAAAAGCCUUUCAAAUGUCAAGUGUGCGGAGAUGCUUUUUCUCGAAAUGGUAACUUAACAAGGCACAUGGGUAUUCAUGGGAAAACUAUUUCAAAUGGUAGUCCUAAGUCAUCUAUUUGUCAUUCAAGUAUGUCUCAUGAACAUAGUACAUCAUAUGAAGCAUCAACUUACUCAAAACCUAAAACAUCUAAAGUUAUAACAGCAAAUGAUAAACCUUUUAAAUGCCAAAUAUGCCCUUGUUCAUUUUCUCGCAACGGUGAUCUUACAAGACAUCUAAGAACACAUGGAACUUCUUUACCAUCAUUGUCUCAUACAGCUAACUGCAAAGUGUCAACUUCAUCAUCAUCAUCAGCGUCAUCAGUGUCGACAAAUCAGUUGCAUCAUAUUCAAAACCCAUUUAACUGUGAUGUUUGUUGGGAAACGUUUACGCAAAGAGCUAAGUUAAGCCAAGAUAUUCAUAAAAGGAUACAUAAGGCUUUAAAUCCUUUUCAAUGUGAAUCUUGUGGAAAAUGCUUCUCUCAAAGGACGCACCUGACAGUUCACCGACAACGGAUUCAUUCCAAUGGAAAGACACUAAACAAUUCAGACAAGCCUUCUUUGGAUAAUUCAUCUUCAACUCAUUUACAAAGCUCAAAUGAGAAGAGUAAUGAUAAUCCCCUCAGUUGUGAUGUCUGCUGGAAAGCCUAUUCACAAAGAAACCAUCAUGACUUACAUAAACGGAUUCAUUCUGCUGUGUUACCAUUCAAGUGUAAUAUAUGUUCCCAGGUGUUUACUGACCGGGGCGAAUGGAAACGUCAUCAGAGGUCUCAUCUUGGCAAAAAGCUCUACUCUUGCAGUCUUUGCAAUAAAACAUUCUUAGAAAGAUCACACUUAAAAGUCCACCAUCGAAUUCACACUGGAGAGCGACCAUUCAAGUGUGGCACCUGUCAGUUUGCAUUUGCAAGGAAAGAUCAUUUAGAACGGCACCUUCGAGCCAACAAAUGUAAUAACAAAAUGAAUGAUGAUUGUAGAAAUUCACCUGAUAGCAAUAACGCCAGUAACGACUCACAUAGUGAUUUAAUCCAGUUACAUUCUCAUCAUCAUCACCAUCAACAACAACAACAGCAACAACAACAUAUGAACGACAGCAGUGCACCACCUACAACUGCUCUAGUGCCUGCAAAUUCUGUGUUGGCUCAUUCUCAUCAUUCUGACACUUCAUCUGGUACAUUAGUGCAAACUUCUCCACAACUAGAUAUUGCAUCACCCCAUCCUGCUACAACAGACCUCAUUUCUGCCGCUAAUAACACUCAGAUGUACCCUGCCACUAUUCAGAUGUACCCUACAAGCAUACAAUUAUAUUCAGGUGCACCGGUUUUCCCAACAAUUCAAGGAGCAACUUUUCUCUGUAUUUAGAUUACCUGCAUAUUAUCAGUACUAGAAAGGGGAAAAAAAUGCUCCCAAUAUUUAAAAUUUAUUUUAAAUCUCUACUGCUGGUUAUCAUCAUUAUCAUCAUGUCAUCCACAACACCAUUGGAAUUAGACCAGAGUUGUCUUUGAAUGCUUUCAAUACAUUUGAAAAACACACACAUGCAUGCACACACAAAUUUGUGCAAAUAGAUAAAUCUAGCAACUUCAAG